CCGAUGUCUGAUUAGCUAGUUGGUGAGGUAAAGGCUUACCAAGGCGUCGAUCAGUAGCUGGUCUGAGAGGACGACCAGCCACACUGGGACUGAGACACGGCCCAGACUCCUACGGGAGGCAGCAGUGGGGAAUUUUGGACAAUGGGGGAAACCCUGAUCCAGCCAUGCCGCGUGAGUGAAGAAGGCCUUCGGGUUGUAAAGCUCUUUCAGCCGGAACGAAAAGGUCACGGCUAAUACCCGUGACAAAUGACGGUACCGGAAGAAGAAGCACCGGCUAACUACGUGCCAGCAGCCGCGGUAAUACGUAGGGUGCGAGCGUUAAUCGGAAUUACUGGGCGUAAAGGGUGCGCAGGCGGCUCUGUAAGUCAGAUGUGAAAUCCCCGGGCUUAACCUGGGAAUUGCGUUUGAAACUACAAAGCUAGA
rnacentral:rRNA from 1 species